rnacentral:rRNA from 1 species
GAUGAACGCUGGCGGCGUGCCUAAUACAUGCAAGUCGAGCGAACAGACGAGGAGCUUGCUCCUCUGACGUUAGCGGCGGACGGGUGAGUAACACGUGGAUAACCUACCUAUAAGACUGGGAUAACUUCGGGAAACCGGAGCUAAUACCGGAUAAUAUAUUGAACCGCAUGGUUCAAUAGUGAAAGACGGUUUUGCUGUCACUUAUAGAUGGAUCCGCGCCGCAUUAGCUAGUUGGUAAGGUAACGGCUUACCAAGGCAACGAUGCGUAGCCGACCUGAGAGGGUGAUUGGCCACACUGGAACUGAGACACGGUCCAGACUCCUACGGGAGGCAGCAGUAGGGAAGCUUCCGCAAUGGGCGAAAGCCUGACGGAGCAACGCCGCGUGAGUGAUGAAGGUCUUCGGAUCGUAAAACUCUGUUAUUAGGGAAGAACAAAUGUGUAAGUAACUAUGCACGUCUUGACGGUACCUAAUCAGAAAGCCACGGCUAACUACGUG